rnacentral:rRNA from 1 species
UAAUACGAAGGGGGCUAGCGUUGUUCGGAAUUACUGGGCGUAAAGCGCGCGCAGGUGGCCAUCCAAGUCAGUGGUGAAAGCCCGGAGCUCAACUCCGGAACUGCCAUUGAAACUGUUUGGCUCGAGGACGAGAGAGGUGAGUGGAAUUCCCAGUGUAGAGGUGAAAUUCGUAGAUAUUGGGAAGAACACCGGUGGCGAAGGCGGCUCACUGGCUCGUAUCUGACACUCAAGCGCGAUAGCGUGGGGAUCAAACAGGAUUAGAUACCCUGGUAGUCCACGCCGUAAACGAUGGAUGCUAGCCGUUGGAUAGCUUGCUAUUCAGUGGCGCAGCUAACGCAUUAAGCAUCCCGCCUGGGGAGUACGGCCGCAAGGUUG